rnacentral:rRNA from 1 species
GCAAGUCGUACGGUAAGAGGUGCUUGCACCUCUGAGAGUGGCGAACGGGUGAGUAACACGUAGAUGAUCUACCUUUUAGUUGGGGAUAGCCCAUGGAAACAUGGAGUAAUACCGAAUAAUCUCUUUAUACUUUAGUAUUUAGAGGAAAGAAGCGUUUGCUUCGCUGAAAGAUGAGUCUGCGCACUAUUAGCUAGUUGGUGGGGUAAGAGCCUACCAAGGCGACGAUAGUUAGCCGACCUGAGAGGGUGAUC